rnacentral:rRNA from 1 species
AUUGAACGCUGGCGGCAGGCCUAACACAUGCAAGUCGGACGAGUGGCGGACGGGUGAGUAAUGUAUCGGAACCUGCCUGAUGGAGGGGGAUAACUACUGGAAACGGUAGCUAAUACCGCAUACCCUCAGAUGAACCCAUAUGGGAUUAGCUUGUAGGUGUGGUAACGGCUCACCUAGGCCACGAUCCCUAGCUGGUCUGAGAGGAAGAUCAGCCACACUGGGACUUAGACACGGCCCAGACUCCUACGGGAGGCAGCAGUGGGGAAUAUUGCACAAUGGGGGAAAACCUGAUGCAGCCAUGCCGCGUGUAUGAAGAAGGCCUUCGGGUUGUAAAGUACUUUCAGUAGGGAGGCGUUACCGGCAGAAGAAGCACCGGCUAACUACGUGCCAGCAGCCGCGGUAAUUC